rnacentral:rRNA from 1 species
UACGUAGGUGACAAGCGUUGUCCGGAUUUACUGGGCGUAAAGAGCUCGUAGGCGGUUUGUUGCGUCGGCUGUGAAAUCCCGAGGCUCAACCUCGGGUCUGCAGUCGAUACGAGCAAACUAGAGUGUUGCAGGGGAGACUGGAAUUCCUGGUGUAGCGGUGAAAUGCGCAGAUAUCAGGAGGAACACCGGUGGCGAAGGCGGGUCUCUGGGCCGAUACUGACGCUGAGGAGCGAAAGCGUGGGGAGCGAACAGG